CGGUUUGAUAAGUCUCUGGUGAAAUCCCGCAGCUUAACUGUGGGACUUGCUGGAGAUACUAUCAGACUUGAGGUCGGGAGAGGUUAGGGGUACUCCCAGGGUAGGGGUGAAAUCCUAUAAUCCUGGGAGGACCACCUGUGGCGAAGGCGCCUAACUGGAACGAACCUGACGGUGAGUAACGAAAGCCAGGGGCGCGAACCGGAUUAGAUACCCGGGUAGUCCUGGCCGUAAACGAUGUGGACUUGGUGUUGGAAUGGCCUCGAGCUGCUCCAGUGCCGAAGGGAAGCUGUUAAGUCCACCGCCUGGGAA
rnacentral:rRNA from 1 species